rnacentral:lncRNA from 1 species
CGUGACAAACCCGAAGGGACGCUGGACCCGCGCGGAACUGGAGCGCUAGGGUGGGGCUGCGCGGUGGCGCUCCUGUCCGCUCUGCCGGGAGCCACUGCGGAUCCCACUCUCUGCAGGCCGCAAGGAGCUCUAUUGAAUAUUCCUUUACUCUGCAUAUGAAUUAUUCAUGAAAUGACUUAAAGACAUAAAAAUUAAAACAGAUCCAUUGGACCCAGAUGGUAAGUGAUGAAGACUAUUUUUUCUGAUAUACUGAAAGUUAAGAGGUUUUCAUCUGAGGAAGAAUAGAGAGAAAAUGGAAAAUUUCUUAAGCUCCUGAGAAAAGAGUUCAGACUACAAAUUGGAGAAAGGGAAAAUCUCCAAAAACGGUCUUUACUGGCUUUCUAACAUAAUCUAUAGACAUCCCUAGACCAAGUCGUUUGAGAUCAAUCUGUGAACCUGAGGAUGUUUGUUAAACAUUUACCAACGUGGAACUGAUUAUAAUUACUUUAAGUUACACCCCCUUGUGCAGGUCCUGGCACAAAAUGAAUAUUCCCUAAAUAAUCAUGAAUUGUGUGUCAAGACCUAAACAAUUACAAAACAUUAUUAUUAACAUCAUUUUUAUAUAUUUAGAUCAACUGUAAAAAUAUAAAAUCUGACAUAAGUCUCCCCACCAACAAAAAAGUCUUUUUAAAAGCAAAUAUUCCUAAGAUCAUUACUUCUUCAAAGUGGCACUUGUUGAAAAUGCCAGAGAAUAUUAAAAAUAGGUGAGGGGGUAAGAUCCUGUUGUCAAAUAAUGUCAGAAAACACCAGUAAAAUUAUGUAAAAUAGGUCUUGUGGGGAGUUCCCUUCGAGGCUCAGUGGUCAACGACCAUAACUCGGAUCCAUGAGGAUGCAGGUUUGAUCCCUGGCCUCACUCAGUGGGUUAAGGAUCCGGUGUUGCCUUGAGCUGUGAUGUAGGCCGGCAGCUGUAGCUCUGAUUCCACCCCCAGCCUGGGAACUUCCACACGCUGAGGGUGCAGCCAUAAAAGGAAAAAGUAAAAUAAAACAGGUCUCUUGACUUGGCA